rnacentral:lncRNA from 1 species
CAACUUUGCUAUCUUAGAACGGAUCACCAGUGAAAGAGGGGAAGUUGCUACUGUGAUGAAUUCUGCCAUGUGGUACCAGACUGCUGCCCAGACCACAGUGUCCUCUGCAACCCUGGUAACUCACAUACAGGCCUGAUUCCACCUACAGCAAAGCUGGAUGCUAUGGUUGGCAGAGGCAAGCCCCUUGCCUGCACUUCAGGCCAAAGCCGGGAUGUGGCCUAGAUGGUUCCUAAGGUCCCUGACAGUCCUGAGAUCUUUCAUCUUGUCUAUUUCAGGUCAAAGGUGCCUACAUGUUCCUUCUAGCUUUGUUUCCCUGAUGUUCCUUGCCACCUGCUACUCCUCUCUGAGCUACUUUUCCAGGUUCCACAGGGAGAGGUUCAGCUGUCCAUGGUAGACAUGAGGGUAGAGAAUGAGAUGGUUGGGUUCCACUUACCUUUCUAUCAUCUUGCAGUAUGGAUGUCUCUUGACUGGUACCAUGUAGACUUUUGAGGGCAGACAGGAGUCUGCAGAGAGAUACUGGGGAUAUUGAGCAGCAGCAAUGGGGUUGGGAGGCAGAAAUGAGGACAGGAACAUUUACCUUGUGUUUCUCUCAGCUUCUCAGAUGACCAAGAUGGUGCUGCCGAUGGUGUUGAGGACGGAGAACCCACCAAGCCCCGUUAGGAGCCACCUAGACUGGAUGCAGAGCACAUGAUGAAAGGAGAGGCGGCAGACCUU